rnacentral:misc_RNA from 1 species
UCACCAUGCACUAUAUUCUGUUAACAAACAAGGAAAAGAAAUGCAGUUCAGCAAUGUAUACAUAUAUCAACUUCUCUGUCCAUCACAGGGGAGAGAACACUACGUAAAAAACGAAAUACAAACACAACUUUUGCAGAAUAUCUCGACUGAAACAUAAAAAUAAGUAACAAAGCUAAUUCGCAUACAUAAUUUCUAUAUAUCUCUAACGGAGUUCAUGGGUCAUAGAUCUAUAACAGAAAUAUUUACUUGUACUCUUCUCUCCCAAUCUUUCAAAGUUUACCAGGAUCAAUUAUUUAAUAAAGACAGUGCUCUGAUGGUGAGGAUAAUAUUGCAACUGCAGAAAUCAAAAGCAGCUAAAGACAUGAUUGUGAAGUGAAAUUUCUGUCCUAACAGAUAACCUGAAUGAGCCACAGAACUCUUCAUUGAUCAGACCCAAAUAAAAUUAGAUUUCACAAUUACUAGCCAAUGCCAUAGGUGCAAGGAAGACGAUAAGCAAUCUAUUGAAAAUUAGCAAAACCAUAAGAACUACCCUUGAAAUAUAUAUACAUGCAGAUUUGGGUACCUCAAAUAUACAUGGCAAUACCUGAUCAAUCCCCAAGUGGAAUCUGUCCCCACCCCGAUCCCCACUUCAAUUUUACCGUAACUUCAAAAAAAAAAAUUUUUUUAAUUAAAAUUAAGGAAAAUUAUUAUUUAGUCUCUGCAUUUUAACAAAAUUAACUACUUAG